CUAAUAGUAGCUGAGGCAUCGUGGGUAGGUUCACUUUUAUCAGUUCUUUGAUGUCGCUMGGAGUCUGCACCUGUAAACAACACCAAAGAUUUAGUUAAAAGAGACUUGAARGAAUAUAAAGGGAUCAGUCUUGGUAUAAGUCAAGUUUGGCAUCCCGAGAUACCGCACUCCAUUAAGAUGUCUUUCAAACCAUUCAUAUCUUCACUUGCGAUCAGCUUGUUGCUGCUGGUUCUCGUAUGUCAAGUUGUUCACGGUACACACAAAAUAACAACCAGGAGUCUAAGGAAAUACUGUGGCGAAGAAUURAUCAACAUGUGGUCGAAAUGCUGUAACAAUAACCCAGACUGUGAAAAUUCGAAACGAGAAGUUGAAGUUUUGCUUGAUUCUCCUAAUAUUGCGAAUAAGUUUCUUUGGAAGUCGUCUGGUCGCCGUAAUUCCAUCAUGACUAAACGUGGUGCUGGAACAGAUGCUGUCGAAGAAUGUUGCGCCGAAGGCUGUUCACUCUCCGAAAUWGCUGAAUAUUCUUGUUGAUGAAGAAUUCUCCACAAGAAGCCGAUAACACACGUGACUUUCUAACAAAGACGKCGCACAAACAUUUGAUWCAUACCCGUAUGUAUAUCGAUCUCAUGCGCUGUUAGAAGAGUCUUCGCUAUGACAAUGUUUGGGAGGCGAGAGAACGGAAAGGGAUUACAAGAAGAAACCUUAUUAAACUCAAUGAAUAAACUUAUUGCAACAGAAAA